GAUGAACGCUGGCGGCGUGCCUAAUACAUGCAAGUCGAGCGAACAGAUAAGGAGCUUGCUCCUUUGACGUUAGCGGCGGACGGGUGAGUAACACGUGGGUAACCUACCUAUAAGACUGGAAUAACUCCGGGAAACCGGGGCUAAUGCCGGAUAACAUUUAGAACCGCAUGGUUCUAAAGUGAAAGAUGGUUUUGCUAUCACUGAUAGAUGGACCCGCGCCGUAUUAGCUAGUUGGUAAGGUAACGGCUUACCAAGGCAACGAUACGUAGCCGACCUGCGAGGGUGAUAGGCCACACUGGAACUGAGACACGGUCCAGACUCCUACGGGAGGCAGCAGUAGGGAAUCUGCCGCAAUGGGCGAAAGCCUGACGGAGCAACGCCGCGUGAGUGAUGAAGGUCUUCGGAUCGUAAAACUCUGUUAUUAGGGAAGAACAAAUGUGUAAGUAACUGUGCACGUCUUGACGGUACCUAAUCAGAAAGCCACGGCUAACUACGUG
rnacentral:rRNA from 1 species